GCCUGGCUGGCUCAGUCGGUAGAGCACCCAACUCUUGAUCUCAGGGUUGUGGGUUUGAGCCCCAUGCUGGGUG
rnacentral:tRNA from 1 species